UAAACGACUCUCGGCAACGGAUAUCUCGGCUCACGCAUCGAUGAAGAACGUAGCARAAUGCGAUACUUGGUGUGAAUUGCAGAAUCCCGUGAACCAUCGAGUUUUUGAACGCAAGUUGCGCCCGAAGCCAUUCGGCCGAGGGCACGUCUGCCUGGGCGUCACGC
rnacentral:rRNA from 1 species